CACGGGGGGAGCAAGCGUUGUUCGGAAGCACUGGGCGUAAAGGGCGUGUAGGCGGGCAAGUAGGUGAGAUGUGAAAUGCUCCGGCUUACCCGGAGACCGGCAUCUCAAACCGCUUGGCUUGAGUACGGGAGAGGGUGUGGGAAUUCCUGGUGUAGCGGUGAAAUGCGUAGAUAUCAGGAGGAACACCGGUGGCGAAGGCGCACACCUGGCCCGAUACUGACGCUGAGGCGCGAAAGCUAGGGGAGCAAACGGG
rnacentral:rRNA from 1 species